rnacentral:lncRNA from 1 species
AUGUCUUUCUCACCCACAGGCUUCAACCGAAUACCUGUGGCUGUACUUGGAAAAGGUGGCCAGAAGGACCCAUCCAUUUUGGCAAGUGCCUCUGGUCUGAAAGAGUCAAAAUUCAAAACAGCAACUUUAGCUGCCAUCUCCCAGAAGAAAGACACAAGAGGUGAGUUACGUUUAUUUUCAGUUCACCUUCACAAGGUGGGUAUAGAUCUUUGGGAGCCAUGCUUUGUGAUUGAAAUAUAGAGCUCUCUAACUUACAGAAAUCUACACUGGAAUGUCAUCUGUUCCCUGUACACUGUGGGUCCAUUCAAAUGGAAACUUAAGUUCUCCCUUUUGGACAAAUACACAUAAGGCAAACACCAGCUUUAAUGCUCUACUUACUUGAGUCCCUGUUUUCACCUACUUGGGGUUAAAUUCCUGUUUGCUCACUGACACAUGUAAAAACACUUGGACAUUUUUAAAUAGCCUAUUCAACAUUUUUGUUUCCAUUGUCAACUGGGUCCAUUAGAUAUUUUAUCCACUUUUUUGCUGGAAAUGGUAGUUCCCUUCUACCGGUUCUGCUGGUAUUGGUUUAUAAACAAUUUCCUCUCCAAAACUUCCCUGACUACCCUUUCCUGCUUGUUCCAUAGCAUUCAGCUCAUACCCUCAUCUUAGUAUCUACUACAUGGCACUGCAGUUUCUACAUCGUCUAUUUCCAUAGCAUGUUGUAAGUUUGGAGGGAGAAAGAAUCAAGAGUGCCUUGGUAUUCAUUGUAUCUCCCAUGAAUCAACAAAGUGAUUUCUGAUACCUAAGAAGUAUUGAACAAAUAUUCAUUGAGUUAUUGAAUGCAUACAAUAGUUAAAUUCUUUCUUAAACCUGCCUUAUCUUUCUUCUGCCUUACCUUCCUUUGUUUGAUUCCUGGAUAUUUUCUGGGGUUGUAUUUAAAAGAUUGACUAUUAGUUUUAGGAUAAUUUGGUUUUCAGGUGAUAUGAUGGCAUAGUAGGAAAUAUAAUAAAUUUAGUAACUAUUAUGUAAGUAAACA